GAACGGGAGAGAGAGAGAGAGAAAGAGAAAGAGAGAAAGAGAAAGAGACUCUGCGAUUUUGGAACGAUCUUUCUCCUCUCUCCUUGUUCUCCUGUUUUUGCUCUUUUCUUCUUCUUUGGUUUUUUGGACUCUCAUCAAAAAUGAAACAAAAAGCGGAAGGAGAACAAACAAACUCUCUUUUGAUGGAAAUAUAAAAUAGUAUACUGACGACGAUGAUAUCAUUCAUC
rnacentral:RNase_P_RNA from 14 species